UACGGAGGGGGCAAGCGUUGUUCGGAAUUACUGGGCGUAAAGGGCGCGCAGGCGGCUGCUCAAGUCAGGCGUGAAAGCCCCGGGCUCAACCUGGGAACGGCGCGCGAGACGGGGGGGCUGGAGUUCGGGAGAGGAGCGUGGAAUUCCCAGUGUAGAGGUGAAAUUCGUAGAUAUUGGGAAGAACACCGGUGGCGAAGGCGGCGCUCUGGACCGAGACUGACGCUGAGGUGCGAAAGCGUGGGGAGCAAACAGG
rnacentral:rRNA from 1 species